GAUGAACGCUGGCGGCGUGCCUAAUACAUGCAAGUCGAGCGAACAGACGAGGAGCUUGCUCCUUCGACGUUAGCGGCGGACGGGUGAGUAACACGUAGGUAACCUACCUAUAAGACUGGGAUAACUUCGGGAAACCGGAGCUAAUACCGGAUAAUAUUUCGAACCGCAUGGUUCGAUAGUGAAAGAUGGCUUUGCUAUCACUUAUAGAUGGACCUGCGCCGUAUUAGCUAGUUGGUAAGGUAACGGCUUACCAAGGCAACGAUACGUAGCCGACCUGAGAGGGUGAUCGGCCACACUGGAACUGAGACACGGUCCAGACUCCUACGGGAGGCAGCAGUAGGGAAUCUUCCGCAAAGGGCGAAAGCCUGACGGAGCAACGCCGCGUGAGUGAUGAAGGUCUUCGGAUCGUAAAACUCUGUUAUUAGGGAGGAACAAACGUGUAAGUAACUGUGCACGUCUUGACGGUACCUAAUCAGAAAGCCACGGCUAACUACGUG
rnacentral:rRNA from 1 species